rnacentral:rRNA from 1 species
UGGGGAAUAUUGCACAAUGGGCGCAAGCCUGAUGCAGCCAUGCCGCGUGUGUGAAGAAGGCCUUCGGGUUGUAAAGCACUUUCAGCGAGGAGGAAGGUGGUGAACUUAAUACGUUCAUCAAUUGACGUUACUCGCAGAAGAAGCACCGGCUAACUCCGUGCCAGCAGCCGCGGUAAUACGGAGGGUGCAAGCGUUAAUCGGAAUUACUGGGCGUAAAGCGCACGCAGGCGGUUUGUUAAGUCAGAUGUGAAAUCCCCGGGCUCAACCUGGGAACUGCAUUUGAAACUGGCAAGCUAGAGUCUCGUAGAGGGGGGUAGAAUUCCAGGUGUAGCGGUGAAAUGCGUAGAGAUCUGGAGGAAUACCGGUGGCGAAGGCGGCCCCCUGGACGAAGACUGACGCUCAGGUGCGAAAGCGUGGGGAGCAAACAGGAUUAGAUACCCCUGGUAGUCCACGCUGU